rnacentral:rRNA from 1 species
GUGCCAGCAGCCGCGGUAAUACAGAGGGUGCGAGCGUUAAUCGGAAUUACUGGGCGUAAAGCGUGCGUAGACGGUUAUGUAAGUCGGAUGUGAAAGCCCCGGGCUCAACCUGGGAAUGGCAUUCGAGACUGCAUAGCUAGGAUGCGGAAGAGGGAAGUGGAAUUUCCGGUGUAGCGGUGAAAUGCGUAGAUAUCGGAAGGAACAUCAGUGGCGAAAGCGACUUCCUGGUCCAGCAUCGACGUUCAGGCACGAAAGCGUGGGGAGCAAACAGGAUUAGAAACCCUGGUAGUCC